ACGUAAGUUGCGAGCGUUAUCCGGAAUCACUGGGCGUAAAGCGUUCGUAGGCGGUUUGGUAAGUCGGAUUUGAAACCCCAGGGCUCAACUCUGGAUCCGGAUCCGAAACUACCAUACUUGAGUGUAUCAGAGGGGAGCGGAAUUCCCGGUGUAGCGGUGAUAUGCGUAGAUAUCAGGAGGAACACCGGUGGCGAAGGCGGCUACCUGGAGUACUACUGACGCUGAGGAGCGAAAGCGAGGGGAGCGAACGA
rnacentral:rRNA from 1 species